rnacentral:tRNA from 1 species
CUGCCUGUGGCCUAGUGGGUAAGGUUGCAGUCUUGGGAACAUGGGGUUGUAGGUUCAAGCCCAGCUAGGAAUG